CUCACAUUUAAGGUGUUCAGGGUGGAGUUUUAAUAUGUAUGGUGUUUUACGUCAACGAAGUGGAAGUUUCUCUUCUGGUCUUGUUGCUUUACGACGGAACGUAGACUAAGUCAUUCCACGAGGGCCUCCCUUCUGUCCGCACCAGCCACUUCAUUCAGCAAACAUUUGGGAGCUAGCGAGGUGAGCCAUGUGCUGGGGCAGGUUGGGAGAAAUGGUCACUUCUUAUCUUUAUGGAAUGCUUCCUGGUUAGUCCAAUGUUCUUACGUGCCUCGUGAUCUCAUCUGGAUUCCCCAGCAGUUGUGCGUGCGUGCAUGCGUGCGUGCGUGCGUGCUUCUGCCUGCCUGCCUGCCUUUACCUUGGGGUAAGGAACCUGAGCUUUCGUUGACUUACUUAGGU
rnacentral:lncRNA from 1 species